rnacentral:lncRNA from 1 species
ACCAUUGGUUAACUGUUUUAUUUUUGCAAGGAUUAUAAUUUAUAACUGAACAAACAAUUUCUCCCAAAUUAAAACAAAACCCCUUUUCUUAGAUCUGCUAUGUCUCGGUUUCUAUCUCAUUUCGUUCUUUCGAUCUUCAUCUUCAAUGUUCACCGCCGUUCUCUUUUUUCCACAAAAUCAUUGCCUUAAACCAAUGUCACAACACAACGAUCUGUCGCCAAAAUCUAUCAUCUCACAUUGAUGUCGCACCACAAGGUCUACUACUAGAUAGAGGAAAAUUACCACCGAAAACGGAGGAAGAAGGGAGGAGAGGAUGGAGAGUGGACGGCGGCGUUGGUGUUUGACAACCGCGAUGCCGAGGAUGGCGGUGGGAGAAGGGAGGGAGGAAUCGGAGAUGAUGGUAUCAACAACGAGACCAUCCGUUUUGAAGUUACUGCAGCUCUAACUCCCAAGCACUAUUUGUUGCUUCUUUCAUCUUUCCAUUUUUGCAAAAAUAUUUUUCUUGAGUUUUUGGGUCUGUUGGAUAUUUUGCAUUUUUAUUCUUCUUUUGAGAUCAGAUUUAGAACUUGGGUGUUGAAGAGCUCUUAAUCUAAGUCUCUGAGGCUUAUUUUAAUCUUGAUUUGAUUUUGGGUGUGCCCAAAAAUUUGUUUAUGAAACUUUACUGCUGAGAUGGACCAAUCUGUUGAACGGUCUCUAAAUGUACACAUGGGUUUUUGAGUUCAAGCUCCAUUGAUAUGUCUAUUUUGAAUUCUUUUUGACUUAGUUCUUUUUAUUAUUCAUGUGUUUUUAGAGAUACCCAGAUGAAAUCAUUGCUAAAUGUGUAAUCUUUGUAAGAAUUCUUGGUUUGUGCCCG